rnacentral:lncRNA from 10 species
CCCACCUUGGCCUCCCAAAGUGCUGGAAUUACAGGCGUAAGCCACUGUAAUUACGGGCUGCUUUUAUAUCUUUAAGUGGUAUCAUAUUGAUUGCAUGUUUCUUCAUUCAAUAUUAUACUUUUGAAAUCUGUCCAUAUUGAUACACAAAAAUCUUGCUCAUGCCUUUGCAUUUGCCAAUUUGUAUUUUAACACUUAAAUGCGUCAAAUUUUAUUUAUUCACCAUUAAUAGAUACUCAGGUUGCUUUAAUUUCUUGAUUUUGUAAAUAAUGCAACAAUGCAUUACUUUGGACACAUCUCCUUGUGAGACACAAGGAGACACAUCUAGACACAUCUCCUUGUCUAGAGUAGAGACCUAGAAGUGCUGGGCCACAGGGUAUAUGCACCUUCUGCCAAAUGGGUCUCCAAGGUAGACUGUAGCAAUUUUCACUCCUCCAGCAUCACAUGGAAUUCUGUCCACUCAGGCUAAGAUGGGAAAGUACCUAGUCCGAGACCUCCUGCCUCCUUCCACCUUUCUGUGUUCAGGAGCCUACUUCUCUGAACAUAGAGAGGCUUCUGUGGGGAAUCUAAACUGGGUUUGAUCCAUGAAACAUGCUCACUCGCUGUGGUCUGCACCGUGGGGUUGUGCCACAGCCCAACUGUUAAACCUCUUAGUUUCUAUUUUCUCCUGACUUGAUAAACCAAGUGGAAACUCUUCACCUGCUCAUACCUGUGUCCUAAGCUAACCCCUGAGCAGGGGGCCUAGCAUUACAUUGGUUUGAUCUUAGAUUCCCUAAGGUCGACGUUGCUGCUUGGUUUGGCUUGUCCAUUUAUUACUUGAGUAUUUAUUGAGCACCUAGGUGAGGGGUGCAAAGGUGAACAAGACAAUACUUAUGGAUUCGUUACCAUCUGGAGAGGUGGGCACUGGCAGCUGAUCUCAACCAGUCCUUCCAACCUGCCUAUGAAAUAGGUACCAUUAUUAGCCCCAUUUUACAGAGCAGGACACUAAGCCUUUGAGUCCAGGAAGAUCUCACUUGCCCAGGCUUAGCUAGGAUUCCAGCCCACAUCUGUCCACAGAUGCAGUCUGAAUAACUGCCUUAUUCUUCCACAAUGUAUUAGAAGUUAGCUGGGAUGACAGGCCACUUUGGUUAAGGGGAUCAAAGGAGAAAGGAAGGGAUAUUUGAAAUGGGCCUAGAAGGCCAUUUUCAAUUUUAAUGGGAAAUGAUGGUGAGAAGGACAGAGGAUGCACACGGGCAUCAGGUGGGAAAGGGCAGAAUACAUUUGGGGAGUGGUGGGGGAAUGGAUGGAGUUAAGAAAACUGUAGAAGUGGAGUAGGACAUACACCAGAAAUACAAGUAGGGAUCUCAUCACAGAGGGCCUUGAAUGACAGAUAAGGAAAUGGUGAGUUACCUGAGGCUUUUGAGCUGGGGAGUGAUGUGAUUAGAGUCAGCAGCAAGAAAGAGAAUGGAAUUGUAGGGGAGAGCAGGGAAGCUGGGAGGCAGGGCUGGGAGGGGAGGGAGACGUGGAGGCCAGCCCUGCUCAGCAUCCAUUCCAGCCUAUGCUGGUAAUGUCAGAAACCUGAAGACUGCAAUUCACACACUUCUUUGUAGCUAGAGUUCUGGACAAGGAUUCAUGUAGCCUGCAUGGGUGAUACAGAGGCUGCUUGGUGCUGGGGUCAUUUGCUUCUUCAUUCGAGGACUUCCGCAUGGCAAUGGUGGCUUUCCAGUUUUUUUGUUUUUUGUUUUUUUUUACACAGAGGUAAUAGGAUUCCAAGAGUUAGGUAUUGUUCCUGGAAGCUCUGCUUCAAAUAUCUUUCCCAGAUUUUUCAGCAAUGUGUUAGUUACCUGAACCCGAGUUCUCCUAAAACUAGCUUGAGUGGCUGUUUCUCCAAAUGAACUGACACCAUUGCAAUAGAAUUAGUAAGGACUUCAACUUGGAUGAAAAGCAUCAGGGCUGGAAAAAAGGAGGAAUGGACGAGCACAUUUUGGAGGUAGAAAUGGGCAGGUUGAGGUAAAUCUUUGAAUGUGGGAUGGAGGAAAUUGUCAAAGAUUAUGCUGAGGCUUUACACAGGGACAAUGCAAGGAGUGACAGAGUCAUUAAUGGGUACAAACAGUAGAUUUUGAGAAGCUGCCCUUAAUCUGAAGCUUUGGGGAAUCAAUUGCCUGCCCAGAAGCGUCUGUGUCCUGGAAGCUAAAGCUCUAUGAGGACAGCUCUUUGCCAAUUUAUUCACUAUCAUAAUCACUUUGGCUAUGUGCUUGGCAUGUGGUAGACACUCAAGACAUACCUGCUGAGGAAUGAAAUUAGGGUCCAACAUGCAAAAGGAAUUAUGGGAGGAAAAUAUUUUUAGAGCAAGAGGAUAGGAAAUUGUGUAGGAAGGAUAAAAGGAGUUGAGAAGUCAGAAAAAGACUACUAGAGCCACUGUGCUUGGUAAAACAGAACAUUUCAAAUGCUUUUCUAAAAAUAACUUUUUAAAAACAGUUGAAGUAAACAUAAAUACAGAAAGUAUAUAUCAUACAUGUAUAGCAUAAAGAAUUAUCACAAUCAAGUAACCACCUUCCUGAUUUAAAAAACCAGAAUAUCCCUAGCAUAGCUGGAACCUCCUGAAUGACCCCUCUUAGCCAUUAACUGCCACCACCUAAAAGAAACCACUGUCCUUCUUCUAACAGCAUAGAUUAGUUUUGCCCAUUUUGAACUUUAUAUAGUUAUAUAGCACGUAUUCAUCUAUAUCUGACUUCUUUGGCUCAACAUUAUGCUUGUGAAAUUCGUCCAUGUUGUUGCAUGUAGCAGUAAUUUAUUCAUUUUCAUUGCUGUAUAGCAUUCUGUAGUAUGAAAGUACCAAAUUUAUUUAUCUAUUCUACUGUUGAUGGACUUUUAGCUUGCUUCCUGGCUUUGACUUUAAUAAAGCUGCCGUGGGCCGGGCGUGGUGGCUUACGCCUGUAAUCCCAGCACUUUCGGAGCCAAGGAGGG